CUUUGAAAGUGUUGGAAAUGGGCACUUUGCAAAGUGCAACUUUGUGGGAAGGAAGUUAGCAGGGGGAGAGUGUUGGGUCAUCUCACCAGUGCCGGGAUGAACCAUCACCUUCACAGCCAUCACAAGGCUGUGUUAUUGAGGGAAGAGGCAUAAAGUACUAGGGCAGGCAGCAUACCUGCUGCUACUAUUACAAUGUCCAGUACCAUGGCAGCUAGGAGUGACAGGGGAGGUGUUGCAGAGCCAAGAGCUACUGGUGCUGCCAGCCAACAACAAAGGCUGGUUGGAGCAUCACAAUGCGUCCAGCCCACCCUGGAACAAUUUGGGGGAUUCCACUCCAGGGCUAUGUCUAAACAGCAGUCCAAUAAAAUUACGCAACUUAUUUGCCAGUUAAUUGCUGUUGGGGGGGCUUCCUUUUCAAUGAUAGAAGGGGAGCCUUUCAAACAGUUGAUGGAGGCUGUGUCUCAGGAAGCUGCUGCUGCAACUUCAACAGCAGCAGCAAUGUCUAGCAGAAAGGGAGGAAGUGUAUCUGUAGAUUAGCUGGGCUGUAGAUCUUUCCUUCUCCAUGCUGAAGUGAUGGAUGAAAAACACACUUCAGAUAGCAUUCUGCAGACAGUAAGGAGGAUGGUGUCUCUUUGGGUUGGAGCGGAGGCAGGCACCAAUGUAGAAGUGGGGUUUGUGGUUACUGAUGGAGCUUCAAAUAUAGUGAAAGCUCUGCAUGAUGGUAACAUUGUUGGUGUGCGCUGUGCAGCGCACAUUAUCCAUCUAGUGGUCAAGUCGGCAAUCCCAGAAGGUAAUAACAGAGUUUCCUGUGUGAUUGAAAGGUGCAGGAGGAUUGCUGGGCACUUCUACCGCAGUGUGAAGGCUAUCCAACUGUUGAGGCAGGAACAAGAGAAGGCAGGUCUUCCCACACACUGUCUAUGACAAGAUGUCAGUACACGGUGGAACGCUACUGUGGAUAUGCUGGAGAGGAUUUUAGAGCAGCAGAGGGCAAUCCAUAGUCUGGAAUCAGACCACUACAUCGGUAUUGGUUCUCCACUAGGUAGAGACGAUUGGACAGUGAUCACUCAGCUAGUGGCAGUCCUGAA